ensembl:lncRNA
UUUUGGAUUUUUGAGGAAAACGCUGCUGAUGUUUUCAUUGUUGCUGAACAGUGCUUACACAGAGUCAAGAAUUCUUCUGCUCCUUGUGCUGCUCUGCCAGUGUGGAGCUGAGGGGGUACAAGGAGCUGAGAGGGGACACAGCCAGGGCCACUGACCCACACUAAACAAAGGGAUGUCUCAUACCAUAAGGCAUCAUGCUCAGCAAUAAAAGAGGAAUGGGAAGACAUUUGGAGAGAUGGUGUUUGUCUUCCCAAGAAACCAUUACACAUAAUGGGCCUUGCCUUGCAGGGAGUGGCUGACCACCUGCCUGGGGAUGAAGACCUCAGACCUUAUGUAUGCUCAUUCCCAAUGACCAACAUCCAUUUUCGCCUUUACUUGACAUCCACCUGGAUCUCAAGGAGUCACAUCUUUGAUGUACAUAUACAGUCACUUAACUAAGAGGAGCCUACAGCAUCUUACUAACUACAACUCAAGCUGCAUUCUAGAGGAUCUUACAUAAGCAACUCUACACACCUACAUCUUUUCUCAAAAUGAACGUGACUAAACUUAUCUUUGUGGCUUAACUUUGCCUGCUGACUAUUGCUAUGCCAGUCAUGUUUGGCAAAAAACCAAGCAUGACAACAUGCAUGGUCAUCUGUAAGAAAAUGUUCCAGUUCGUCCACAUUUCUGUUCUCCAUUACAUGCAAGACAGAAGAAUCUGUGACUCUCAUGGCUGCUAAAACAGAAAAACUGCAGGUGCAGCAUUGUUCCUGCUAGAUUUGGAUUGAGAUGGAGGCACAAAACCUCUUUCCCUGGCACAAUCUCCUUUGCUUACAGUCCCAGCAGCUUUGUUUCAUUUUUCCGCGUCAGUGGAAUUCAAAAUAUAAAAAAAUAAUUCUCCUAUUGGUUACUCUGAAAGGCCUGUGUUAAUCAAGGUGCCUUUUGACUGUAUAGAGAUACAGUCUCAAACAAUAUUAGUUGCUAUGGAAGCAGAAGAAGGUGCUUUAUGCAGACAUGCAGAAGGAUGAAUGGAGAAGGAGUGUGUGCAGUGGACAAAUACAAGCAGAUUAGCAUAAAGGCAGAUUGGCCCUCUGUGUAAAGUUAGUUCCUGUAAAUACAUUGUAGCAAAUCACAUGUAUACAUAGAGUUUGCAUUUAGCCAAGUUCCAUUUCUUUAACCAUAAGAAAAUGUAUGAUCAUUACGAGUCUCAUUAGCAUUGAUUUUCAUAGACCCCACGCAGAAUUAAUAUGUGUCCUUGAUAUAGGAAAUUACCCACAGUUGAUACAAAUGGCUAGCUGGAAUAAUUCCAUGUAUAUUUAGCAGAUUUGCAUUAUCUUUUGUGGCAGAGGCAGAC